GUCUUUGUAGUAUAUAAAAUACUUUGGUCUUGUAAACCAGAAAAGGAGGACCUCACUCCUCCCUAAGACU
rnacentral:tRNA from 1 species